rnacentral:rRNA from 1 species
GAUGAACGCUGGCGGCGUGCCUAAUACAUGCCAGUCGAGCGAACGGACGAGAAGCUUGCUUCUCUGAUGUUAGCGGCGGACGGGUGAGUAACACGUGGAUAACCUACCUAUAAGACUGGGAUAACUUCGGGAAACCGGAGCUAAUACCGGAUAAUAUGUUGAACCGCAUGGUUCAAAAGUGAAAGACGGUCUUGCUGUCACUUAUAGAUGGAUCCGCGCUGCAUUAGCUAGUUGGUAAGGUAACGGCUUACCAAGGCAACGAUGCAUAGCCGACCUGAGAGGGUGAUCGGCCACACUGGAACUGAGACACGGUCCAGACUCCUACGGGAGGCAGCAGUAGGGAAUCUUCCGCAAUGGGCGAAAGCCUGACGGAGCAACGCCGCGUGAGUGAUGAAGGUCUUCGGAUCGUAAAACUCUGUUAUUAGGGAAGAACAUAUGUGUAAGUAACUGUGCACAUCUUGACGGUACCUAAUCAGAAAGCCACGGCUAACUACGUG